rnacentral:rRNA from 1 species
UGAGUCCUACGGGAGGCAGCAGUGGGGAAUAUUGCACAAUGGGCGAAAGCCUGAUGCGGCAACGCCGCGUGAAGGAAGAAGGUCUUCGGAUCGUAAACUUCUGUCCUUGGGGAAGAUAAUGACGGUACCCUUGGAGGAAGCCCCGGCUAACUACGUGCCAGCAGCCGCGGUAAUACGUAGGGGGCAAGCGUUAUCCGGAUUUACUGGGUGUAAAGGGAGCGUAGACGGUUAUGCAAGUCUGAAGUGAAAGCCCAAGGCUCAACCAUGGGACUGCUUUGGAAACUGUAAAACUGGAGUGCAGGAGG